GUUGAGUCCUUAGGACUGGAGCACCUGGCCCAAUAUACAGUGGGCUGUCCUCUUUCCACACUUCCCAUUGCAUCCCAGGACAAAAGUUCUUAGUCAUCUGUAACCAGACCACAGGACAAGGGCCCCGUGGAAGCAAAGUCCCCAUUGGAUGCCAGCUCACCCCGACUUAUCCUGGAGUUUUCUGUCCUGAGUUUUCCAACUUCUGCAUGCAAUUUUCUCUCCCACGCCAGCAAGUUGAGCUGUGCACAGCUUUGUGGGCACUCUGAGGGACUGGGCAGCAUUAAUAAUUCAGGU
rnacentral:lncRNA from 1 species